rnacentral:rRNA from 1 species
AUACGUAGGUGACAAGCGUUAUCCGGAUUUACUGGGCGUAAAGGGCGUGUAGGCGGUCUUGCAAGUCAGAAGUGAAAUUCCUGAGCUCAACUCGGGCGCUGCUUCUGAAACUGCAGGACUUGAGUGCUGGAGGGCAGGAGAGGUAAGCGGAAUUCCUAGUGUAGAGGUGAAAUGCGUAGAUAUUAGGAGGAACACCGGCGGCGAAGGCGGCUUACUGGACUGUAACUGACGUUGAGGCUCGAAAGCGUGGGGAGCAAACAGGAUUAGAUACCCUGGUAGUCCACGCCGUAAACGAUGAUUACUAGGUGUUGGUUGUCAUAGACAAUCGGUGCCGCAGCAAACGCAAUAAGUAAUCCACCUGGGGAGUACGUUCGCAAGAAUGAAACUCAAAGGAAUUGACGGGG